UAAUAUGAAGAGUUUGAUCCUGGCUCAGAUUGAACGCUGGCGGCAUGCCUAACACAUGCAAGUCGAACGGUAACAGAUAAGAUGAUCUCUUCGGAGUGAAUCUUUGCUGACGAGUGGCGGACGGGUGAGUAAUGCUUGGGAAUCUGCCCAAUAGUGGGGGAAAACUCGGGGAAACCCGGGCUAAUACCGCAUAAUCUCUACGGAGGAAAGAGGGCCUCUACAUGUAAGCUCUCGCUAAUGGAUGAGCCCAAGUCAGAUUAGCUAGUUGGUAAGGUAAUGGCUUACCAAGGCUACGAUCUGUAGCUGGUCUGAGAGGAUGAUCAGCCACACUGGGACUGAGACACGGCCCAGACUCCUACGGGAGGCAGCAGUGGGGAAUAUUGCACAAUGGGC
rnacentral:rRNA from 1 species